rnacentral:lncRNA from 1 species
GUAGUGAGGCAUACUGUGAUCUCUAUCAUAGUAUCAUCGAAACUCCUUUUGAUGAGCUGGAAUAAUUCUAACUCACCCCAACAAGGAUUGUUGAUCCAAAAAUGAUCCUAGUGAAUUCUUAUAAUCCACCAGUGAUGUCUAGCAGUAUGUAGUGGCAAUCCAGUAGAACAAAAAGAUAAACUCCUAGGUAUAGUUACAAUGAAUCAAGUUCCUCUAUUGAGAGU